UGGGGAAUCUUGCGCAAUGCGCGAAAGCGUGACGCAGCAACGCCGCGUGGGGGAAGAAGGCCUUCGGGUUGUAAACCCCUUUCAGUUGGGACGAAGCUUCGCCGGUGAAUAGCCGGCUGGAGUGACGGUACCUUCACAAGAAGCCCCGGCUAACUACGUGCCAGCAGCCGCGGUAAUACGUAGGGGGCUAGCGUUGUCCGGAAUCAUUGGGCGUAAAGAGCGUGUAGGCGGCCCGGUAAGUCCGCUGUGAAAGUCGGGGGCUCAACCCUCGAAAGCCGGUGGAUACUGUCGGGCUAGAGUGCGGAAGAGGCGAGUGGAAUUCCUGGUGUAGCGGUGAAAUGCGCAGAUAUCAGGAGGAACACCGAUUGCGAAGGCAGCUCGCUGGGACGUAACUGACGCUGAGACGCGAAAGCGUGGGGAGCAAACAGGAUUAGAUACCCUGGUAGUCCACGCUGUAAACGAUGGGCACUAGGUGUGGGGGGUGUCGGACUCCCUCCGUGCCGAAGCUAA
rnacentral:rRNA from 1 species